UACGGGGGGAGCAAGCGUUGUUCGGAUUUACUGGGCGUAAAGGGCGCGUAGGCGGCCACUUCAGGUCAGUUGUGAAAUCUCCGGGCUUAACCCGGAAAGGUCAACUGAUACUGCAGGGCUAGAGUGCAGAAGGGGCAACUGGAAUUCUCGGUGUAGCGGUGAAAUGCGUAGAUAUCGAGAGGAACACCUGCGGCGAAGGCGGGUUGCUGGGCUGACACUGACGCUGAGGCGCGAAAGCCAGGGGAGCGAACGGG
rnacentral:rRNA from 1 species